rnacentral:rRNA from 1 species
GACGAACGCUGGCGGCGUGCUUAACACAUGCAAGUCGAACGGAAAGGCCCUGCUUUUGUGGGGUGCUCGAGCGGCGAACGGGUGAGUAACACGUGAGUAACCUGCCCUUGACUUUGGGAUAACUUCAGGAAACUGGGGCUAAUACCGGAUAGGAGCUCCUGCUGCAUGGUGGGGGUUGGAAAGUUUCGGCGGUUGGGGAUGGACUCGCGGCUUAUCAGCUUGUUGGUGGGGUAGUGGCUUACCAAGGCUUUGACGGGUAGCCGGCCUGAGAGGGUGACCGGCCACAUUGGGACUGAGAUACGGCCCAGACUCCUACGGGAGGCAGCAGUGGGGAAUAUUGCACAAUGGGCGGAAGCCUGAUGCAGCAACGCCGCGUGCGGGAUGACGGCCUUCGGGUUGUAAACCGCUUUCGCCUGUGACGAAGCGUGAGUGACGGUAAUGGGUAAAGAAGCACCGGCUAACUACGUGCCAGCAGCCGCGGUGAUACGUAGGGUGCGAGCGUUGCCCGGAUUUAUUGGGCGUAAAGGGCUCGUAGGUGGUUGAUCGCGUCGGAAGUGUAAUCUUGGGGCUUAACCCUGAGCGUGCUUUCGAUACGGGUUGACUUGAGGAAGGUAGGGGAGAAUGGAAUUCCUGGUGGAGCGGUGGAAUGCGCAGAUAUCAGGAGGAACACCAGUGGCGAAGGCGGUUCUCUGGGCCUUUCCUGACGCUGAGGAGCGAAAGCGUGGGGAGCGAACAGGCUUAGAUACCCUGGUAGUCCACGCUGUAAACGGUGGGUACUAGGUGUGGGGUCCAUUCCACGGGUUCCGUGCCGUAGCUAACGCUUUAAGUACCCCGCCUGGGGAGUACGGCCGCAAGGCUAAAACUCAAAGGAAUUGACGGGGCCCCGCACAAGCGGCGGAGCAUGCGGAUUAAUUCGAUGCAACGCGUAGAACCUUACCUGGGUUUGACAUGGAUCGGGAGUGCUCAGAGAUGGGUGUGCCUCUUUUGGGGUCGGUUCACAGGUGGUGCAUGGCUGUCGUCAGCUCGUGUCGUGAGAUGUUGGGUUAAGUCCCGCAACGAGCGCAACCCUUGUUCACUGUUGCCAGCACGUUAUGGUGGGGACUCAGUGGAGACCGCCGGGGUCAACUCGGAGGAAGGUGGGGAUGACGUCAAGUCAUCAUGCCCCUUAUGUCCAGGGCUUCACGCAUGCUACAAUGGCUGGUACAGAGAGUGGCGAGCCUGUGAGGGUGAGCGAAUCUCGGAAAGUCGGUCUCAGUUCGGAUUGGGGUCUGCAACUCGACCUCAUGAAGUCGGAGUCGCUAGUAAUCGCAGAUCAGCAACGCUGCGGUGAAUACGUUCCCGGGGCU